rnacentral:pre_miRNA from 1 species
UUUCUACUCCGUCCGUCCGAAAAUACUUGUCAUCAAAAUGGAUAAAAAGAGAUGUAUCUAAAACUAAAAUACGUCUAGAUACAUUUCCUUUUAUCCAUUUUGAUGACAAGUAUUUCCGGACGGAGGGAGUAUUUG